ACUCCUGCGGGAGGCAGCAGUGGGGAAUUUUGGACAAUGGGCGAAAGCCUGAUCCAGCAAUGCCGCGUGUGUGAAGAAGGCCUUCGGGUUGUAAAGCACUUUUGUCCGGAAAGAAAUCCUUGGCUCUAAUACAGUCGGGGGAUGACGGUACCGGAAGAAUAAGCACCGGCUAACUACGUGCCAGCAGCCGCGGUAAUACGUAGGGUGCGAGCGUUAAUCGGAAUUACUGGGCGUAAAGCGUGCGCAGGCGGUUUGCUAAGACCGAUGUGAAAUCCCCGGGCUCAACCUGGGAACUGCAUUGGUGACUGGCAGGCUAGAGUAUGGCAGAGGGGGGUAGAAUUCCACGUGUAGCAGUGAAAUGCGUAGAGAUGUGGAGGAAUACCGAUGGCGAAGGCAGCCCCCUGGGCCAAUACUGACGCUCAUGCACGAAAGCGUGGGGAGCAAACAGGAUUAGAUACCCCAGUAGUCCC
rnacentral:rRNA from 1 species